GCUGGAUGUAGCCCCCCCAGCAGAGUUCUGGUUGCUCUGAGUAAAAGCUCUGACGUCAUCAUUCACUCAGGACAACAUACACUACCCCCAGCAGUGUCUUCUUUUCUUGUGCUAUCCAGUCUGAAGGGACCUGGAUUGUCUGGAAAUUCUGCAGAAGACCAUUGUUCCCAUAUACUGAUGAUGUCAUGUCAAUGGGAUCUGAUGAGCAAGAACUGGGAAUCUGACCUAAGCCCGCAGUCGUCAGCAUACUGUGGUAUUUGGGGCUGAGCGUGCGAGUGCGAGUGAGAUCACCGCAGACUGGGAGCAACAACGGGUAGAGAGCAGCAGGCGGAGGCAACACCCAGAUGGUGACACAGAAGACAGAAUCCAGCCGUCACAGAAUCCGAGAAAGAGGGAGUCAAGGAGCAAAGGCAGUUCAAGUGUCGAGCACGAAGAAACCUGCGAAUCGACAAUUCUUCAUCAUACUCAGCUUCUCCUAUUUGCUACGAUACAUGCAGGUGGAUAUCGAAGAAUUGGCUCCGAAGCCAGGGAUGUAGCACUACCAUCAAGUCGGACACGUGGCAAGAACUAUUACCUUCCUGAGGAUCCCCCUGUCAUCUUUAUACUCCAGGAUGUCAGUUCAUUUCUGUUUUUUCCUUGGUACUUCCAUUAUUUUUUUUCAUGUUUUAUGAUGUUUUAUUUAGAGAAGCAAGUGUGAGGAGUUAAAAGGCAUCUGGUUCUCAAGCUUCUACAAAGGCUUGAGCUGAAAUGUAAGUUCUGCACUGUGCUUGUGGGUCAGCCGACUCGGACGCUGCCAGGCCCUUGGGGGUUAGUCAUUGCAAAGGCCACACGCCAUCUUGCGAGACUGUCUGUUCUCUGUCCAGCAUGACUUUCUCCCCCGCUUUCUUGUCUCCUCUCAAUACCAAGGUCAGUCAGUGUGGCCCGGAUCAGAGAUGACCUCCCUAUGAUAGUCAGGUCUGGCAAUUGUUGUCCUUACUCUUUCCAAUAAAAAUAAUAAGUAGUGAUUGUGAACCUUUGCAAAGAUAAUGCUUCUGUUAUAGGCUCAGCCCCAAAUCUUUAAUUGCUCAGUGUUUUUACCCACGGUGUUAUUACCAGGAGCUAAUGCUCUGUCACUGACUGUCACUGCGGUCCCUUUCUAAAUCCCUUGGUUUCCAGAAGUCAUCAUGAGUUAUCCUCAG